GGUACCAAAGUUUGGCUGCCGAUGUGAAGGGCUCCGGGGGGCCGAGUCCGGGGCGGCUCCGGUUUAAAACACGGCUGGGCCGCUCACCGAGCAGCGUGGGGACCGUUGCUCUCUGGAUGUCGGUGACUCCGGCUGGGAUAAUCGCCGCAAACCCGGUGCAAAUGGGCCUUCCUGAAGGAUCGUCAUUCGCUUUUACCCACUGGAGCCCUGGCAGAUUGGCAAGAACAGAACAGUCAUGACUUUCCUGUGACCCCUCAAGCGGCCGUUUGGAACAAAGCAGCAAUGAAGACAACCCAGAGAUGGCCUGCUCCAUCUACCUUUCCUCUUAAAUCAGCUCUAAUCGUUCUGCACCUUCACCUAUGUGAUUCUCUUCUGCUUUUGGACAUUGUGCAUAUAAAGAGUGGGGCAUUCAGGUGUACCGUUAUCAGCAAAGUAGUUCAAAGUCCUUGUCUCAAGCCUUCCUUGUAGCACUGUGUCUGAUUUUAUGCUCUGUGGUCUACCAUUGCCAGCUGCCGGUGGCUGCUCCCACAAAGUUUUGUUUGCCCACAGAAUCUUUGUGGCUGGAUGUUUGUUGUCAGUGGCUGUGUGUAGAGGAUGGAGCUGCUAGUGAAGAGCUGCACUAUGCCACAGGAAAAUGUUGUGAAAGUUCUGCCUUUCCUACCUUUAAUCGCUGUUGUUAACCCUGGUGUUCAAAAUAGUUUUCAUUUCCUCACUCUUACAGGGAGUUUUGGAAAAGGAUAGACAUCUCGCUGUGCCCUGUGGCUGAUUUUUUCAGCUGCUUGCCCUAAGCAGAGGGGCUGCUGUAGUUGUCUGCAAGUGACUUAGCACACAGGCAGCAUUCUGCCUAUUGCACUCAACCUUAAAACUUCCGUUGCUGUUGCACUUCACUCUAAAGUGUUUUGGAUUUUAGGACCUAUAUGCUCCAUCACUUUAUAACUGGAAUGUACAUAGUAUUUUACUAAAACAAAAGCACAGUUAUUUCAGCCUUCCACAUGAGAACGUGUAUAGACUUUCCCUCCACUUUGGGACUUUGUCAGGUGCCAGGCACAAAAGCAAAGAGGACUUAAUUGCAUGCCCUUGAGAGGUAGAGAUCCAUUAAACACAAGGCUGAAGAGUCUCCACUUCUUCAUAAUCCUGAUUAGAUUUUUGUUUGUUUAUGUCUUGAGCUCUCAAGCUAGUUGAAAAUUCCCCUUCUAAUUAUCACUUGAAUUUAGUUAUACUUACGCAGCGUAAGUAUCUUCUGUGUUUGCAAAAUCCCCCCUUAGGGGGAGCUGUGCUAUCUGAUUAAUAAAAUGUAUCAAAACCUCUUUUGAUGAGCA